rnacentral:tRNA from 1 species
GUAGCUCAGUGGUAGGGCGCUUGCCUUGCAUGCAAGAGGCCCUGGGUUCGAUUCCUCAGC